AGAGUUUGAUCCUGGCUCAGGACGAACGCUGGCGGCGUGCUUAACACAUGCAAGUGGAGCGACGAACCGGGCUUCGGCCCGGGGCCAAGCCGCGAACGGGUGAGUAUCACGUGGGUAACCUGCCCCGAUGACCGGGAUAACCCGAGGAAACUCGGGCUAAUACCGGAUGUGCUCUCAAUCCACCAGGGUUGAGCGCAAAGGAAGCUUCGGCCUCCGCAUCGGGAUGGGCCCGCGGCCCAUUAGCUUGUUGGUGAGGUAACGGCUCACCAAGGCGACGAUGGGUAGCUGGUCUGAGAGGACGAUCAGCCACACUGGGACUGAGACACGGCCCAGACUCCUACGGGAGGCAGCAGUGGGGAAUCUUGCGCAAUGCGCGAAAGCGUGACGCAGCAACGCCGCGUGAGGGAAGAAGGCCUUCGGGUUGUAAACCUCUUUCAGGAGGGACGAAGGUUCAGGCGCGAAACAGCGACCCGGACUGACGGUACCUCCAGAAGAAGCCCCGGCUAACUACGUGCCAGCAGCCGCGGUAAUACGUAGGGGGGCUAGCCGUUGUCCCCGCAUCAUUGGGGCGCACAGC
rnacentral:rRNA from 1 species